GGACGAACGCUGGCGGCGUGCCUAACACAUGCAAGUCGAGCGGAGACAGAUUUGAGCUUGCUUAGAUCUGUUUUAGCGGCGGACGGGUGAGUAACGCGUGAGCAACCUUUCUCUCAGUGGGGAAUAACACAGGGAAACUUGUACUAAUACCGCAUGAGACCACAAUGUCGCAUGGCAAAGGGGUCAAAGAUUAAUCGCUGAGAGGUGGGCUCGCGUCUGAUUAGAUAGUUGGUGGGGUAACGGCCUACCAAGUCGACGAUCAGUAGCCGACCUGAGAGGGUGAUCGGCCACAUUGGGACUGAGACACGGCCCAAACUCCUACGGGAGGCAGCAGUGGGGAAUAUUGGGCAAUGGGGGGAACCCUGACCCAGCAACGCCGCGUGGAGGAAGAAGGUUUUCGGAUCGUAAACUCCUGUCCUCAGGGAAGAGCAGAAGACGGUACCUGAGGAGGAAGCCCCGGCUAACUACGUG
rnacentral:rRNA from 1 species